rnacentral:tRNA from 1 species
GGAGAGGUGCCGGAGUGGACGAACGGGCUUGCCUGGAGAGCAAGUGUGCCCUUUGGGUACCGUGGGUUCGAAUCCCACCCUCUCCG